GUGAAUCAUCAAAUUUUUGAACGCAUAUUGCACUCUCUGGUAUGCCGGAGAGUAUGCCUGUUUGAGGGUAAUUAAAAAGAAUCUUUAACCAAUUUUUUUUGGGUAAAGGAAAUGAGUUCGCCGCGUUUAUAGCGGUAGCUUGAAAUAAAUGGUAGUCUCAUUUUAUUCGAGACUGAUAGUAAUUUAAUUUCACUAAAUCUUAAUUAUAUGA
rnacentral:misc_RNA from 1 species